rnacentral:sRNA from 1 species
AUGGAUGCAGAUUUCAACCUUAGAUACAAUUUUGAGCAACACUUGGAAAAUUCUAAUGAGGAUCCACCUGAAAAUGAUUUAGAGAUUCUCGAAUCUCUUUUUGCUGAAGAAAUGACUAGAGGAGGUUACAGAGGAGUUAAAGGAGAGGAGACAUUCCCUAUCUACACUAAAGGCUACAAAAUGGGGAGUGAAGACUUUCCAAGAAUGGUCCCUUGAAACCUAUGGGGAAAU